rnacentral:rRNA from 1 species
GUCUAUGGCCAUGCCACCCUGAACAAGCCUGAUGUCUGAUCUCGGAAGCUAAGCAGGGUUGGGCCUGGUUGUAUUUGGAUGGGAGAACACCUAGGAAGACUAGGUGCUGUAGGUA